CGCCUCCUCCCACGCCACCAACAGCUCGCCGGUGGUCACUCCGACUCCGGCGACCACCUCACCACCGCGUAUCCUCUCUCGGAAGGCGCCGACUUCCACCUCCUCCUUGUCCCCGGCGGCGCGGCCGUCCCUGACGGCGGGUCGGUCCAAAUUCCAUCGCUGGCAGGAAGUGUCUCCUGCGUCAAAUGAAGGUCCCUACCUCCCCUUCCCGGCGUCUGCUUCUCCGGCGGGUGUGGCGAUCCCUGGUUCGAUGGACGGGCGCAUGUCCUUCAGGGACGUGCUGCUUACGGCCUCCCAGGCGCCGCCCCCCGGGCUUAUCAAGGACCCCACUCCACCGGUGAAGGCCGUUCUUCUGACCGCGGCGCGCCACAUUCACUCGCCGAGGCGCGCUGUUCCAGAUGUUGAUGAUGGCUGGCGAGUGGUCCGGGGCAGAGGCGCUCGUCGUCGCGCCGCCUUGCCGAAGAAGCCGCGGCCGGUCCCGGCGGAGUUGCAUGGCAGGUGCUUCAAAUGCCUGUCGUCGUCGCACCGGGUGGCGGACUGCCGCAGGGCCACGAGGUGUUUCAAGUGUUGGCGGCCGGGGCACUUGGCGGCGGCGUGUCUCGUGGAUCGUCCCAUUCGGUCUUCUGUGUGGGAUCGCCUAUCUCUGCCACGCGGGGCUGCGAAGGACCGGGCGGCCGGCGUCAUCAGGCGUACUUCGGUUUGGCGGCGGAUCACCCCGGCGAGCUCUUCGGACGGCGUUAUUGGGGCGGCUGUCUCUGCUCCUGUGCAUGGGGCUGCUCCUAACAAUGAGGAUGGUGCUCCUGUCGUCGAGGGCUCGCAGUCCAGGAUGGGGCGCAAGCGGCGGAGGGGUCCGCGUCGUAGGCCUGAGGCUUCCAGGGGGCCUCCUCCUCCCCCUUCCCCGCCGGCCUUCGUUUCUGGCGUCUCGGAGAGCCAGAGGGCUGGGCGGACUGCAGCGGUAAGAGAUGUUCCCGCUCGGAGACCUAUAUGCGUCAUGGAGUUCUCGGCGGGGUUUGCUCGGGAGGAAGUUGAUCUCCGACGUGCCCUCUUCGUUCCAUCACUGGUAACCGUCCUAUGGUCUCUCCUGACAUGGUUUUGGACGAAGUUGCGCGGUCAUACGAUGUUGAUCGUGGCCUGUUGAGAAUUCAUCGAUCCAACCCUGAGGAUUUCAUUCUUUUUCUCCCUGACGAGGAGUUAGCUGUGAGGGUUUUCAAUGGCGGCAGACAUUUCCUUGCUCCUGGCUUCAGUCUGAAAUUCAAGCGCUGGUCACGCUUCAUCCAUGCGACGGGUGGCUCUCUCCCGUUGUUGGCAAAUGUUGAGCUGAGAGGGAUUCCGGCGCAUGCUUGGGAUCGCUCAACUGUGGAGCGGUUGCUGUGUAAUCUUGGGUUGAUCAAGUCAGUGCAUCAGUGCUCUUUGGACAGAAGUGAUCUCGAUGUCUUUCGUGUCCUGGCAUGGUGGGCCGAUGGGUCGGAGCUCCGCCGUGAAGUUGAUCUCUUUAUCAAGGAACCCGUGCAUGGCUUGGAUGAGUCGUCGGAGAAGCUGUGUCUUGUCUACCCCAUUUUGAUCGAGGCCACUCCUGUUGCUCUUGGUGAGCGUGGGCCGGGGGGACCGCCAUCCCCGCCGCCCCCUCCUGCCAAGGGGGGCGACGACCCCAGGGGUUUUUCGCCGCGACGCUUGGCUGGCUCCGGAGGAUGUUCCGGCGACGGGCGGUCAUCGAGGGGGUCUGCGAGGGGACCCGUGCACUCGCGGCUUGGCCCGCCGGUGCAUACCACGUGCCACGUGACACCUGCUGUGACGUCGGUGUUGCACGUCGUGCAUG
rnacentral:misc_RNA from 1 species